ACAGACCCCACUCUCCCUUACCUACUCUGGGAGGACCAACAGACCCCACUCUCCCUUACCUACUCUGAGAGGACCAACAGACCCCACUCUCCCUUACCUACUCUGAGAGGACCAACAGACCCCACUCUCCCUUACCUACUCUGAGAGGACCAACAGACCCCACUCUCCCUUACCUGUCUUACCCCAAAAGGGACUCCACUGUCCCCACCUGACCCUGCUCUCCACCUGAAAGACUUAACUGCAUUUAUCAAUACUCUGGAACGGCUCACAGACUGUCAGUGUGUCAAAGCUUGCUAAAUUAGUUUUUAAGUUAAAACUGUAGAAUGUUGUACAGGCUUUAAUGGGGAGAACAAGAUGUGACAGACUUGGAUUCCAUUGGGAAUUCUAUCAGUUUAUUUGGACUCGUAUUGCAUCAUAUUCAUGACAUCGGAAUCAAUAGUACUGAUUAUUGAUUAUGAACUGUGUUGAACCGUCAUUGAGAAGGGAUGUAGGUAUCUGUUAACUGAUGCUAGUAUGUAGUCUAACUCUAGCCCAUCACAUGAAGCAUUUUCUAUUUCUGCCCUCUGACAGUGUUUCAUCAUGACAUCUCGGAGUAGUAAUCUAGCAUCAGUCCAUCACUGUUAAUCUAGGAUCAGUGGCGGUCUAGGAUCAGUCCAUAUAAUCUUUUUCAUUAAACCUAAGUAGCCCAACUGAUCGUAGAUCAUCACCUAUUCUGGGACAAUUUGUGGAUACGGGUCCUGAAGGAUAACGACAACCUCCUAGUGAUCAUGACCUUGUAAUGUCACCAUGACAACCUGUUGAUUCUGCUACAGUAUGACCAGGAAGUGAACAGAGGGCUGCAUUAUGGCUCUGUCUCAAAUACCACCCUAUCUCUAUAUAGUGCACUACCCAUAGGACUCUGGUCAGAAGUACUGCUCUAUUUAGGGAAUAGUGACAUUUGGGAAUCACAUUUAUUAUGAGUUCCAAGUGUUGGUCAGACCCCGGCCAGGUCAGACCCCAGGCCAGGUUGGAGCCAGGCCAGGUUAGACCCUGGCCAGGCUGCUACCUCUGUCCUGUGUUUUGGCCUAGAACUUCAACUACCAAGAGACAUCUUCAUAUCUGGAACACCAGUGCAAUAACUACAGAGUGGGAAAACAGACAGAAACUAGGGAAAACAAAACGUAAUAUUCUCAACUUGUAUAUUAUUAUUUCUAAAAUAUUGUAGACUGAAUAUUCCCAGUUAAAAUGAAGACUUUGUUCCCUUUUAACAAUGUGUUAAUCUUUUUAUUUUCUAGAGCUGGGUUCUUUGUGUACAUUCUGAUAGCGCUCUCUCUUGUCGAGCGGUGGGCCUGUAGGAUGCUGUAGGUUGGCUGUUCACACAGAGGGAGGGAGUGUUCCAUGUGUUCUCACGGUUGCCGUCAUUACCUCCUCCCUGUACAAAUAAAGUUUUGGGUGGUUGAAGCUCUGUUAUUGUUGAUAAUGACCAGUUGUAAAUGAACUGUAUUGUGUCUUUCUGACAGUGCUUCCCCUACUAACCUGGCUGUCUUCAUCAAGGUCUCCUACUGCACUAUUUUGCAUUGCUCCCAAACGGCUCCCUGUAUGCACUAUAAAGGGAAUAGGGAGCCAGACCAGUCCUGUAGUGUGAUAUCCCCAUGUUCAUCAAAGGCACCCCUCUGUCAUGAAAUAUAUUCUGCCAUCUCUACUUGUUGUUUGGCCUUAGAGUAUAUAUUUUAUAAUUGAUGAUCCAUGCAGAAGAUGUGGUUGUUUCAGUUCACAGGGGGUGAUGUUGAGAGGGCCACGUUGUUUCAACGAACCUCGUCGUGAACCAGGCUUCUCCAAGGGAGGUGUGACCACUUGAUUUCGGAGGUAUAGCAAAUCAGUAAGCUGUUUCCAGGUGGAGCACCUCUACAGACAUGAUCAAUAGGGUUGAUCAGAGUUAAUCAAUCAGUAAGCUGUUUCCAGGUGGGGCACCUCUACAGACAUGAUCAAUAGGGUUGAUCAGAGUUAAUCAGUAAGCUGUUUCCAGGUGGAGCACCUCUACAGACAUGAUCAAUAGGGUUGAUCAGAGUUAAUCAGUAAGCUGUUUCCAGGUGGAGCACCUCUACAGACAUGAUCAAUAGGGUUGAUCAGAGUUAAUCAAUCAGUAAGCUGUUUCCAGGUGGGGCACCUCUACAGACAUGAUCAAUAGGAUUGAUCAGAGUUAAUAGAGUGGGAAGGUGGUAGUUGGAUGCUGUCGCGUGAUAUGAUCUCGUUGAGAAACGCCGCUUGGCUAAUGGCCAGCAAACUGCAUCGUCCAUCGUCCAGGGAAAAUCUGCAAAUAAUAUUGAGUAGUUAUUUAUGAUAGAAGGUGAUUUGUUCAUCAGUCUCGGCUCCAAUGUGGAACUGUGUGUCUGACCACCUGGCCUCACUGAGCCUGAAUGUUUUAUAUAUAUAUAUAUAUAUAUAUAUAUAUACUGAAGAAAAAUAUAAACACAACAUGUAAAGUGCUAGUUUCAUGAGCUGAAAUAAAUGAUCCCAGAAAUGUUCCAUAUGCACAAAAAGUUUCUCUCAUUUUGUUGUGAGGUGCACCUUGUGCCAUGGGCAAAAGGCCACUGCUAGGGGGUGCUGAGGAGUAUUUAUUUCUGUAAUAAAUCCAUUUUGUGAGGACUAACGUAUUCUGAUUGACUGGGCCUGUCUGCUAAGUGUGUGGGCCUAUGCCCUCCCACACCUGCCGUCAUCUGAAAUCCAUAGAUUAGGUCCUCGUUUAUUUUUAAUGGACUGGUUUCCUUUUAUUAACUGUAAAAUCAUUGAAAUUGUUGCAUGUUGCGUUUAUAUUUUUGUUCAGUAUAUAUUACAAUAAAGAUAUGUGCAUCUAAACCUCCAUGGAUCACUAUCAAUUUAGAGUGGC
ensembl:lncRNA